rnacentral:ncRNA from 2 species
AACCAUCACCAGGGGGGCCCGGACAACGGGCUGAGAUACCGCUGGCUUCAAGCAGCGCGGUGACCCUUUGAACCUGAUCCAGUUCAUACUGGCGUAGGGAUGGUGCGACGGCUUUCCG